GGGCCUGUUAUGGCUUCGACGGGAACGUUUACAACUAAAUUGGCAAGCGGACGUAUCUGCCUUAGAGUACACCAAAUACGUGCAAACGCAUUUGAAAAUGCAAAAGCUCGCGUAGCAAACUUGUUUGCUGCUCCUGCAUUUGCGCCAGCAGUAGCUUAACAGCUCACUGCCGUCUUGUUGCUUGACUCCUACUGGAGUAGCAAGGCGUCAUAUUAGUAGGAUAGGAGUUCGGCCCAAUUCGACCAAAUUCCAAAAUUAAGAAUUUGCCUCGGUGUGUGUUUUGUUUGUUUUAAGCCCACCGAAUAAGAUUUAAACAACCUACGCUUGUAGAAGAUUUAGUUCGUUCGUUUUCGGACAGCGGUUCGACUCCGCUCAGGUCCACCA
rnacentral:tmRNA from 1 species